CACACACGCUGAGUAAUGUAUCGGAACGUGCCCAGUCGUGGGGGAUAACGCAGCGAAAGCUGCGCUAAUACCGCAUACGAUCUAUGGAUGAAAGCGGGGGACCGUAAGGCCUCGCGCGAUUGGAGCGGCCGAUAUCAGAUUAGGUAGUUGGUGGGGUAAAGGCUCACCAAGCCAACGAUCUGUAGCUGGUCUGAGAGGACGACCAGCCACACUGGGACUGAGACACGGCCCAGACUCCUACGGGAGGCAGCAGUGGGGAAUUUUGGACAAUGGGCGCAAGCCUGAUCCAGCAAUGCCGCGUGCAGGAAGAAGGCCUUCGGGUUGUAAACUGCUUUUGUACGGAACGAAACGGUCCUGGUUAA
rnacentral:rRNA from 1 species